AGCAAUGGGAUGCGAAUCUCGAAAGCCUGUCUCAGUUCGGAUUGGAGGCUGAAACCCGCCUCCAUGAAGUUGAAUUCGCUAGUAAUCGCGCAUCAGCCAUGGCGCGGUGAAUACGUUCCCGGGCCUUGUACACACCGCCCGUCAAGCCAUGGGAGCCGGGGGUGCCUGAAGUUCGUGACCGCAAGGAGCGACCUAGGGCAAAACUGGUGACUGGGGCUAAGUCGUAACAAGGUAGC
rnacentral:rRNA from 1 species